rfam:Anoxybacillus amylolyticus strain DSM 15939, complete genome.
AUCACCUUUUAAUUAAGUCCCGCGAGACUUAAAAGGGUGUUCCUGUUCGCGUAAAAAGGAAAAACCGAAUGCGAAAAGCGGUUUCUUUUCCUACACCUUUUUACGCCCAAAAACGGUGCAGCACCCUGUCGGUUAGGCAGGGUGCUUUUUUUG